GAAACACCCAGCGCACGGCGACAGGGAACUUAAGUGCAGGAUACAAUCCUGGCUGUCGUAUUGCCUAAAAAGCAUUGCAUAGCAAGGGCCGGGCAAGACCGGUGCCAGCCGCCGCGGUAACACCGGCGGCUCGAGUGGUAACCGUUAUUAUUGGGUCUAAAGGGUCUGUAGCCGGCUGGAUAAGUCUCUUGGGAAAUCCGGCAGCUCAACUGUCGGGCUUUCAGGAGAUACUGUCCGGCUCGAGACCGGGAGAGGUGAGAGGUACUUCAGGGGUAGGGGUGAAAUCUUGUAAUCCUUGAAGGACCACCAGUGGCGAAGGCGUCUCACCAGAACGGAUCUGACGGCAAGGGACGAAAGCUAGGGGCACGAACCGGAUUAGAUACCCGGGUAGUCCUAGCCGUAAACGAUACUCGCUAGGUGUCGGCCACGGUGCGACCGUGGUCGGUGCCGUAGGGAAGCCGUGAAGCGAGCCACCUGGGAAGUACGACCGCAAGGCUGAAACUUAAAGGAAUUGGCGGGGGAGCACUACAACGGGUGGAGCUUGCGGUUUAAUUGGAUUCAACGCCGGAAAUCUCACCGGGACCGACAGCGAUAUGAAGGCCAGGCUGAAGACCUUGCCGGAUUAGCUGAGAGGUGGUGCAUGGCCGUCGUCAGUUCGUACUGUGAAGCAUCCUGUUAAGUCAGGCAACGAGCGAGACCCACGCCCACAGUUGCCAGCGUACUCUUCGGAGUGACGGGUACACUGUGGGGACCGCCGCUGCUAAAGCGGAGGAAGGAAUGGGCAACGGUAGGUCAGUAUGCCCCGAAUAUCCCGGGCUACACGCGAGCUUACAAUGGUUGGUACAAUGGGUAUCUACCCCGAAAGGGGACGGAAAUCUCCUAACGCCAAUCUUAGUUCGGAUUGAGGGCUAAACUCGCCGUCAUGAAGCUGAAUCCGUAUAAUCGCACACACAGUGUCCGUGAUU
rnacentral:rRNA from 1 species